GCCAGCACCCAUAUCACCCUAUCACUCACAACUGGCAACCCACUGAAGCUAAGCAGGUGUGAGCCUGGUCAGUACCUGGAUGGGAGACCUCCUGGGAAAAACUAAGAUUGCUGGAA
rnacentral:rRNA from 1 species